CUGAAUUUGUUUCACCAGAUGAGAAGACCAUGAUCAUCAUUGAAAGUAAUGUAACAGAAUCCCUUCAGCACAGCAGAAUCUGAAAUGCAGGUCCAAUAAAUCAGCCAGUUAGUUUAAUUAUAAAGGAUAUUUAGAGUGGAAUCAUUCCAAAAACAUUACAGAUAGGCCAAUUAGUCACCAUCUUCCCUCAGAAUAAAGUGAACAUAAACUGUAUUCUUACUUCUGUAGGUUCCAUGAAGAUUUUCAUCUGGAAGAAAAACUUCUCCCAUUUAAAUCCACACUGUUCUUUUUCACUUACUGCACAAAGUUAUGAGAAGAAGGAAAGAUUUAAGGUUUUUUAACCAAAGUAUCUGUUUGAAGUUCCAAGUAAACCCUUGACAGGGCCCAGCUUGCCAAGAGAUAUGCUUUCUACCAGUAAGCAAGGAAAUCUAUCCAUAAUUUUUUUUUUCCUUUUUUUAAAGAAAAUAAAACAUUUCCUUUGGAAUUUAUUCUCUCUUUUAACCUUAUGCUCACUGCCCAACACAAACACACACCUUUCCCCAAGGACGGGGAAAAACUCCAAGCACCCCAGGGGACUCUGGUGGUGGUGAAGCCCCCAGCGCAGGGCAGCCAUUUUGUGCCCCUUCAGGGCACAGCCCCAGGCAAGGGGGCUCAGCCAGCCUGGUGUUUGAGGCUCUGGCUGUGCCAUACACACAUGACAUUGCUUCCUGCGUCAUCCACAGGUUGUUUCUCAGCAUUUUUGUGCAGAAGACCCAGCAUUUUUCUUCAGAAAUACCAUCGCCUCCCAUGGUGUGCAGAAUCCUACCCUGUAUGUUAACACACGUGGAUCUAGUAUCAGCUGUGGCCUGGAUGCACCCUCAAAAAUAUCUUCUGGGACAUGACAACUUUACCCAUGUAACUGCUGGGAAAACUUUUGCAAGAACUCAGUAGCACUGAGCAACUGGUGUGGUGAUAUCGUUCCUGAACAAAUGCCAUCUUUGAGAGCCCACCCACUGUGGGACAGUAAGUCUCUUUGGCCUCUUUGCUACCUAAUAGAGUGAAGAUCAGAACCUAUUUAUUGCAGGAAACAGUAGAUCUCUGACAAGUGAAACAUUACUGUUCCAUGGGUGUUAAUUUUGCAUCUUUCAUAUUUUGAACAUUGAGAUAGUUUCUUAACUACAGGUGUAGAUGGACUGAGAUCCUGGCUACUUUUAUAAUUCUUCAGCUAGUGCCAAGCAAAAUGCCUGCCAAAGCCAACUGUCACAUACCUGUUACUGCCCAGAACUUGCAUCAGAACAGGACAACAUGAAUGACCCAGAUUGAAAGUCUGGCCUUGCUUGAUUUUGCAAAACUGCAACUAGUGAAGAAUAGACAAUCGAGCUGGCCCUCUGCAAGUAUCUGUUACAGUAAGGAAAAAGAUAAUCAAGAGCCAACAUUGCCCUGCAAAGAUACUAUCUGCUGUAUUGGAUGUAUGUAACAGCUUGUUUUCAGAUCCUGUGGUCAUAAUUUUAAAAACUGCCCUACCACUACGCUAAGAAAGGUGCAAGAGCUUCAAGCCCAC